rnacentral:lncRNA from 1 species
GACUUUCUCGAAAAGCACAUCGACUAAAUUCUUAGUGAGAGAAAAUAAAUGAAAGAAAUUUUAGAGAGAGAGAGUGAGAGGUGAGAAAAGAAAACACGUUUCUGGAUGAUUUUGAAAGUUGGACAUCUAUUUAUAGGUUAGCACAAAAAAGUAAAAAAAAAAUAUGGCCUUUUAGGACUUACCAAUCGAUUAUACACCAAUUGACUGGUUGUCUUCAAAUUAACCGAUUACCAAGUUAAAAAUGAAAAAGAAAG